rnacentral:rRNA from 1 species
GCAAGUCGAACGAGAAAGGGAUUGCUUGCAAUCCUGAGUAGAGUGGCGCACGGGUGAGUAACACGUAGAUAAUCUACCUUCAAGACCGGAAUAACUAAUCGAAAGGUUGGCUAAUACCGGAUGAAGUAUAUAGACAUAAGUGUAUAUAUGAAAGGUUGCCUCUUCUUGAAAGCAAUCACUUGGAGAUGAGUUUGCGUACCAUUAGCUUGUUGGUGGGGUAAAGGCCUACCAAGGCAUCGAUGGUUAGCUGGUCUGAGAGGAUGAUC